UAUGUGCAGGUCUAGAUUAGUCAUCGUUAGAGCCAUUUUCCAGAUGAAAGACAUGGGACAGAGACAUAAGAAAGGCAUUCAUAAUGACAUGUAUCCAACCUUUCUGCAAUGAUAUAAUACGUAUGAUCUGUGGUUCGAUAAGCUCCACCAGCAGGAGUAAUCUGGAAAUUCCGGAUGUAGCGCCAUGCUCCAACCGUCAGAAUCCUUCCCUUACUUUCAAUGUAAGUCUGUUUACAUGUAGCAUGAAUUUUUUGCCCCUAAAACAAAAACCGUAUGAAUUUGAAAUAUUAGUAGCCAAUCCCAAAAUGUUAAAUAAGACAUAAUCGCAAGAUCAAUACAGUAAGGAACGCUUACAGUCUCAUCAGCCAAGACGAAUUCCAUGGUCUCUACGGAUUGAAUGUAUUGUUUCCAAGCGUGUAGCACCUUUACAUGAACCAACCAAGUGUUUUUCCACGGUUUCAAGUCGCCGAAGACGACACAUUGAUCAUUAGGACCUUUCGUUUUUUGUAUUUGCAUCUUAGUAGCCAUUGUUAUGUUUUUUUCGUUUCUUCGAAGGUGCAUGUUUCAAUAGGAAAACGGGACUCCGUAUUUAUAAUACUGAUCGUAUUCACAGUGAUUUGUUAGGGUUUAGGAGAAACUUGGGGAGAAAGUUGAGGGAUUUUUUCUUUAAUGUCGCUAUAUUUGAAGAUUAGUUUUGGAAAUUUCUGUUACCAUGUUAAACGGUUUCAAUAUUUUCUGCGUGUUCCUUAAGUUGGGGGAUUACCUUUUUUUUAUUUAAUUUGUUGUGAUUAAAACCGUAAAUAAGAUAUAUGUCCCGACUUAAUGGGUCUAUAAAACGUAAAUGUAGUUAGAAUCGUCGUUGGGCCCUAUUUGUCAAUCGAUAACACCAGAAAUAACUGAAAUAUUUUGGGCUUUUUUUGUUAAUUAAACACUGCAAUUAAAUAACUGAAAAAAAGAAUGGAAUGUUUUGUAAUUAAUAGGAAAAUUCAGGGGCAGAUUCAUAAGAGGGAUUCUGCUUUAAUAGUAUAGAUUUCUCGGAAACAUAUCAAUUGUUGGUUAGAGACAAACAAAUAUGAUGUAGAAGCCUAGAGUUUUAAAUAUAUUCAAUUCUUAACGAAAACUAAAGGCAAAACACAUCUUACAAUUUCUUUGACAACAAACAAAUCUGACAAAUUUUUUAUUUAUUUUCAGUUAUUUGCAUCUAUAUUUCGUUAAUGGCCAUUUAGUUAUCAAAAGUAGCAUCUUUUAUCACUUGUGUCGUUUCAUAUAUAUAGGAAAAUAACAAUUUAAUUUUAGAACUUUUUUUCCAAGAUAUUUAGCGAACAUAAGUAGAUGACAUUUAUUAAUCUUGUCUCGCAUUCAAUUAAGUUUAAAUGGCUAUUUACUGGUUUACACUUCUGUAAACUAGAAGUUUCUUGAAACUAUUAUAGGUUGAAUUUCUUAGAUUAUAAGUAAAAUUAUUAGUUUAAACUUUUUUAAAAUAUCCUAAUAAGUAUUUUCUAUAAAUAUUAGUUUUAAAAAUUGUGUCUUCUCAUUAUAUAAAAUAAUUUUUUUAAAAAUAUUAAAAUAUCGCAAAAAGUAUCUCUUUGUAAUUAUGUGUCAUUUCAUCUUAAAAAGAGCAUUAUUUUAAAAGUGUCGUUAAAAUAUAUUAGUACAUUUUAUUUUAUUUUUAAAAUUGCAUGGGGUUAAGAGAAAUUGUCUAAGUGUAUAAUAAUAAGUUUCAUACAAAUUGCAUUUAUUAAAAAAAGUUUUCAAAAUGUCUAAAGAUGUAUUUUAUCCAAAUAAAUGUCAAAAAUUGUAACUUUUCAUUAUAUCAAAGUGUCUUUUUAUCUUAUUAAAAAAUGUCCUAAAAAAAUACAAGUAUGUAUCUUUUCAUCUUAAAAGUAUGUAUUUUCAUUUUUAAGAAUUGCAUUAGUUUAAAAGAAGUUGUUAAAAUGCAUAAGGAUGUGUCUUUUUAUCCUACAAAUUGCAUUUGUUAAACAAAUAAAUGUUAAAUGUUGUAAUUUUUCAUCCUAACAAAGUAUUAUUUUUCAUUUAAAUGGCAUUGCUUUAAAAAAAUGUUGUCAAAUAUACAAGUAAAAAUAUUAUCAUCUUAACAAUGUGUCUUUUCAUUGUACGAAUUGCAUUGGUUUUAAAGAAAUUGUUAAAACGUAUAAGGAUGUAUCUUUUAAUCCUAAAAAACUGUAUUUCUUAAUAAAAGUUGUCAAAACGUCUAAAAAUGUAUAUUUUCUCCAAAUAAAUGUCAAAGGUUGUAACUUUUCAUCCUAACAAAGUGUCUUUUCAUCUUAAAAAUGACACUACUUUAGAAAAUGUUGUCACAUAUAUAAGUAUGUAACUUUUCAUCUUAAUAAUAUGUCAUUUCAUUUUAAGAAUUGCAUUGGUUUAAAGUGAGUUCCUAAGACGUAUAAAAAUAUGUCUUUUCAUCCUAAAUUUUUCAUUUGUUAAAAAAAUUAUCAAAAUGUGUAAAAAUGAAUAUUUUCUCCAAAUAAAUAUCAAUGGUUAUAACUUUUGAUCUUAACAAUGUGUCUUUUCAUAUUAAAAAUUGCGUUCUUCAAACAAUAUUGUCAAAAUAUAUAAGUAUGGAUCCUUUCAUCUUUAAAAUGUUACUUUCAUUUUAGGAAUUAAAUUGGUUUAGAAGAAGUUGUUAAAAUGUAUAAGGAUGUGUUUUUCAUCCUAAAAUUUUUUAUUUGUUAAAAUAAGUUAUCAAAAUGUCUAAAGAUAUCACUGCAACUGUUGGUGACAAUAAUUUUAGUGAAGAACCAAUGCAAUCUUUGGUGAUAAAUCAUUGCAACUGUUAGUGAUUGUAGUAUUUGGUGAUAAUCCAUUGUAACUUCUGAUGUUAAUUAUUGCAACUAUUAUCUAACCAUUGCAAUGUUUGGUAUCAACCAUUGUAACCUUUAGUCAUCUAUAUAAGGUGUUGUGGGAAUUGAAAAAUCACAAAAAAUGACAACAAUCUAUAUAUUAGAAAAGAUAGAGAUUCACUGUUAAAUGAUUUUCAAAGAUUUUUGAACAAAUACAUAUGAACAUGCAGAGCUCUAUUUGUUAUUCUUAUAUCUUAGUCUAAGCUUGGAAACUUGAUUGAGAAACCGAUAGAGUUCUACAGUAUUUAUAUCUCAAUACAACCUUGACUUCAAAAAUAUUAUUUAUUGAUACAACAAAAGUCAUCAUGAUUUAAAUCCAUAAUUUAUCAAUUUAGUUGAUUUUAUCUAAUUAUUAUGUUAGUUUAAUAUAAUAAGUAUUGGUGUUUUAUAAGAACUCUUCCGGAAAUUAAAUGAAAUAGUAUAAAUUAGAAAGGUCAUAUCAACAUAAGUCAACAUAUAUUUAUUAUGAUAUCCAAUCUCCUUAAUAUUUUUUUUCUCAAAAAUAGAGCAGGUAAAUAAAUUUAUAAAAAUAAUAACUAUUUUUGCCAACAUAGAAAUAUAAAUUCUCUUAAAAUACUACAAACUAAUAAUUCUAAUAUUGUCUCUUAAAUAGGAAAAAAUAUUUAAAUAUCACGAAAAAUAAUUGAAAGUAGUUCAAGAAGUUGUUGGAGCUAAAUAUCAUGUAAAAUU